rnacentral:lncRNA from 1 species
AGGGAAGAGCGGAAUGCAUGAGCCCUGAGCUCUUUGCCAUGUGCAACUCGUCCCUUGAGAUACACCACCUCUCUCCACCCAUCUUGACAGCCAAAAAAACAUCUCCAGACAUUGCUAAAUGUCUCCUGUGGUGCAAAACUCACCACCAUUUGAGAAGCCCUAGAAGAAGUAAGGAGGUGGUCCCAGUCUGAGAGAUUCCCUCCAAUGACACAUUUUGGGGGAGCUGGCAGUGAGCUAUCCAGGUGCAAGGAAACGGACUGACUGCACUCAAUGGUUCCACAAGACUCCCUUGCAAUCAAAACACCCAUUGGAAAUGUCACCUGCACCAGGUGGAUAAAGGAGGCAGAUGGCUUCAAGCCUGCACCAAGGCUCAGCCAAUGGAGGUUUCAAUUGAUGCGGACUACACAGUGAAAUAAAGGGAAAGUCCUUCUCAAGCCACAACUGAGCCCAUGUCUUCUGGCAGCACCUGAGAGUUCUAAAGAGACAGGGGCCCAGAAGAGAAGCGCAGCUCAUCCUUCAUGUGACUAUUUAAGCUUGAACCAGGAAGGGUGACAACUGGGUGGCCACUGAGUUCCAUGGAUGGAAGCAGCACUGGGUCAUUGCUGUGGGACCCAGGAGAUGCUGGAAUUUCUUGGCCCUCUGUUGGACCCAAGCGCUGGCUUCUGCUUUCUGCCAGAACAAAACUUCUACUUCCCACCACUCUGCAGAGUCCCCAAGGCCGCCCUGGGCCAGAUGCUCCCCCAGAUGGUGAGCACAGGUGGACGGGGGCCACACCUGGCCAUGAGCUUCCAAUCAAGGACUGGGGACCAAGACAGGGGCCACGCAGCCGGGAGGCUCCAUCGCUCUGGAAGUCAUGGCAGGAGGGACAGUUGGUUAGAAGAACUUGAACUGGAAGCAAGCGAGACUGCAGGGGCAGCAAGGAGGGCUGCAGAGCUGCCAAGCCCUCCACAAUACAGCGAGUGCUUGAAUAACAGAAAAGACAAACCAGGCGCUCCAUGAGAUGCUCCAAGCCUGCAGGAACUCUGCGUGCCUGGGGAAAAGGCUCUUUGUGAAGAAAUUGAUAAUUUUCUCCCAGACUGCUGGUGCCCGAAUCAGGAAGCGCUGCAGGAAGGCACAGAUCGGUUCCCUCUGGCUUUGCACGUACCAAGGGGGAUGGUGAUGUCCCUGGGUCCCUGUGGACAGCAAGAGGUUCCCCUAAGGUGAUAGAGUCACCUUGGAGAGGGUGCCAUUUAAGAAGAAAAAUACCCAUCUAGAAGACAGUGAGGAUCUCAGGGCUCAGAUCUCCACAAGGCUUCCUUAUUGCAGUGGCAGAAUUAAAAGGUAGAAGGGUGUCAAGAAGUGUGGCCCCCUCCUUGCCCCUCCACGGAGGCCACAGUAGAAGCUGGCAAGCACCGCUCAGGACAGGGAUGCGCAUCUGGACACACCUAGCCCAGGGCCCAGAGGUGUCCCAACUCUUCCGGCUCCAGCCUUCCGGUAUGCUGACCUCCAGCCCAGCUGGCCCAGCUCCACCAACAGUUCAGCCCCUGCCUGCGAGACCUUUCUCCUGAGACCUGUGUGUGUGUGUGUGUGUGUGUGUGUGUGCGUGUGCGCGCGUGUGCGCGCACUGUCUGGGCCUCUGUUCCAUCGCCUAUCCUGGCCUCUCACCAGGGUCUGAAGAGGCAUGUGUGUACAGCGUUUUCAAAUAAUCUGGAUUUUUUUAAAAAAAUAAUAAAACUGUUUUUUUAUUGCUGUUCCCAGCCCACCUAGCGCCAGCUGUGAUGAGAAUCACUUGUAUGGUAAAGUGCUAUUGAUGAAAUUGCUCC